GGCCUCCCUCUGUGGGGCGAUCGAUUGUGGGGCCCCCAGAUUGAUUGUCCUGCAGAGGAGGCC
rnacentral:pre_miRNA from 1 species